AAGUCUGCCAUCAUCGGGUUCAGGGUGAUCAGCAAUGCUCUGACCCCAGGUGGAGGCUCGCCAUUGCACUCCGGCAUGUUGAAGCCUGCGACGGACUCUAACCGGGUUCGCUUGGGUGUGUGGUUUUUUCAGUGGGGAGCCCUUAAGCAUCCCUC
rnacentral:snRNA from 14 species